rnacentral:lncRNA from 1 species
UAGAAACUGUCACAUUAGACAUGUUAGACGACAGAAUGAUGAUUAUCAAACUAUAUAAACUGGAGGAUAUUGAAACAUCUUUGUCUUUUUUUAAUUUUGUGAGUAAAAAGACAAACAAACAAAGUUUCGCAAAGAAAUUAAACUGUCCAGUCUGAAUAUAGUAGCCAAGGCAUGGAAGUAAACUACCCUACACGAAGACAGGUUGAAGUUUAAAAAUAAACAAUGAUGCGUCGUUUAUAAAAGUAAAGAAGAAUAGUUGAAGCUUAAGUAAAUAUGACUAGAUGUUUCAAACUAUUUAUGUUGACGCUUUAUCUAAAUUGAUGUUAGUUUAUAUAUAAUGAUUUAAUAUACUCGUUACUUAUACAUGUUAUAUUGACAACGAAAACUCUCAAAAAUGAGUAAGGCAGAGAUAUAGAGAAAAUUGAAUAUACAUGCAGUUUAAUAUGAUCAUGUAAAAUACAUAAGUUAUUUUGAAGAUGUGUGUUAGUUCGUUCAAAUUACAAUGGAUUCGUGUAUUUUGUUUUUUAUCGAUUUUCGUGGUUUGUGGAAAACUUGCAUAUUCGUGGAAACUAAAUUUCGUGGUUUCAGCAAAGUCUGCCCAAAAUUUGUAAGGUGUUUUAACUCGUGGUUUCCCUGUGCCCACGAAAAUUGGAAUUCAACGAAUAUUAUUGAAUCUACAUUACUACUUGUUUUUCGACGCAGAUGUAAAGCAACAUGCAUAAGUUCCAACAAAUGUUUUUCCCAAUAAGAUUUUUUUUUUAACAUAAUAGAUUAUAAAAAGCCAUCAGUGUUUAACAACAAACUCAACUACAUGUUCAGUACAUAUACUGCUGUCAUUGAUUUCAGCUGAUUGUAUCGCUUCAUUGUCAGGUUAUUCUCUAACCAAGGAAAAUCAAAACACAAUAUAAGGUACUCGUCCGCUUUUUUAUUAAAAAAAAAACCCACUAGCAUACGACGAAUAUUAUAGCAAAACAGACGAAGGCCAACAACCUAUUGAUUUAAGAUAAACUCAUGUUACAUAAAACCCUAUAUGUAAUUGAAAAAAAAUGUGUAUUGGUAUAAUAAAAUUUGAAUAACAA